AAGUACUCACCUAAAAUUUGGUUUAGCCUUGUUCUUGUAAAGUCUUCGAUUUGAAGGUGUUGACAUUCCAACAGAUAAUGCUUCUAAGUUCUCAAGAGAAGUCCCUUUGCCAAAGAUGAGGACAUCUGUCAUCCACAUUACCUACACUUAGAUCCUUCUUCACCACUACCUCACCUGACUAGACAACAGUUGCUCAUUUCGCUCAUCUUGUCUCCAGUAGACUGACAAAGGUACAGGGGUCACUUAAUUUGGAAUCUCUAAUUAGCCAUUCACAUAUCACAGGCUCUCACCAUUAUAUGCAAUCAACACUGGAGGUUUCCUGAGAGCUUAAGGGACACCAGCAAUUACUUUCCUAACUGGAUGGAAAGCAUGCAAGGAGUAGCAUUGCAGAGUUAACACUGAGUACAGCAGCCUACCUCAUCCCUCAUGGAUGUGUUCCAAGCUCACCAAUGGAUGCCUGAAAUCACAGAGUGCUGAAUACUGUAUAGUAUACACUGUAUUUUUCUUUAUGCAUA